ensembl:lncRNA
UGAAAAUUCACAAAGGACUAUAUUAUUGUAAUGGGAGCAGCCUGAAUGAAAGGAUUUAUUUUUAAAUCAAAGGGGGGGUCCCUCCAGCAUUAAACACAUCACACAGAAACGUGCUAGACAGAGCAAAGCUUUUAUUGCAAGUUUCAGUGAAGAAAGCACUUGAGAAUGACACAAAGCAACAGCCAAGGGCUGACAACCUAAAAGCGAGAAGAACAGAAGCAUUCUGGGUAACAGAGUCUUUGCAACAUUGAAAAAGUAUUGAGGGGUGAAGGUCCAAAGGUUGUCGUUUGAAGAUCAGAAAGCUAAUCUCUGGAGCGGCAUUGGGUUCACAGUGGCUCCUGGAAUGUAAACGUUGAAGAGAGGAUAGUCUAGUGGUGAGGAUGUUCGACUCCCGGCAGGAAGGUUCUGGGUUAGAUCUCCUAAUGUCCGCAGUCUACCUGUAGUCGUCCUUGAGCAAGAUGCUUCCCUAGCCCCCCCACUUGCUCCUUAAUGACACGUAGCUCAAACUUUUCACUGUUUUUUGAAUAAAAGAGUCUGAUGGAUGACUAGAUAGAGAGACAGAACCGGGACUCCAUGCGGAGGGUGGCACCAUCGACUCCUCUGGCCUGGUCUAUUCUAGCCUCUCUGGUCUUUGUUCAUCUUUGGGCUGCCCCCCCCCCCCCCGGGUCUGUGGUCUCUGGUCUCCAACGUCCCCCACCCCCUGCACCUCCUCCAUAUCAGUGUGCUGUCGUUAAGGCAUCAUGAAGGAAGGGUUGGGGUGUACACGCGCCCUACCUGCUCACCACAGACACUCCACCCACUUAAAAGAGCUCUCGAUAAAUACAGCAUCAAAUAUAUAUAUAUAUAUUUUAUAUAUAUAUAUAUAUAUAUAUAGAGAUAUUUUUUUAGUCAACAUUUAUUUAUAGAACAUUUAGUUUAAUAGGACAACAAAAUAAAGUGGGCAUGACAUUUGAGUUUGGAUAAGACAAAAUAAGAUAUUUACCUCUAAAAUAGCUAUAAUAAUAUUAUGAUCAAGCCUUAGUCAAGCGUUAUAAGUAAUAGUAAAAGCAAUACUUGCAAUAUUUGGGUCAGUCAACAUUUGCAGCAUACCGAGGUACGUGAGGUGCAGUGUUUUAGAAAUCUCUGGAAAGAAAGUUUUGGUGUCUGAACAGGUACCCACAGAACUAUUGCUACUGUGCAGACUGUACAGUGCAAGCUCAAACAUGCUAGCUCUACCCAUGCGAUCUCCAAUGUGCUAGCUCCACCAUGCUAGCCCGACCAUGCUACGUCUACCAUGCUAGCUCCAACAUGCUAGCCCUGCCAUUCUAGCCCAACGAUGCUACCUCUGCCAUGCUAGCACCAUCACACUAGCGCCAGUAUGCAGGCUCCACAAUGCUAGCUCCAACACAAGCAGCUAGUUCCACUUGCACAACCUUUCCUUGUUGCAUCUCAUCGAAUCUGAAUCAGUACAUUUAUUUUGAAUGAAAGCUUGACUUAAUAUCCUGACUCUAAUGCUGCUCUUCCAUUAGCCCAGGCACAGUUAAGACCCCUGACAUGGGCUUUGGGCAGUUUAGAAGAGCAAAGUCUCAAAGGAGAGUCAGUUCUCAGAGAGCUUGUCCGUGUUCCAGACAGUACUCCCACAAUACUUUGGAGAACUAUUCUCGCUCUACUCCGAUUUUUGAAAGACUACUUCGUUCUUCAUGACCGCUCUCUCCAUCUCGUCGUAAAACCAGAACGGUUCCUUCUGUACUGGAGACAAACUACUGGUUCAAGACUCAACGCACUGCCAAGCACCGAAGGAAAACCACUAAAUACAUGCAACGGUAAGUCACCACCUGGUACUCCCCAUUGGCACACUGAGACGGCGUAGUAACCCUUAAAUGCGCAAGCAUGAAGUCAGUGUUGUAGAUAAAAGAUACAAAUAAAAAGUUGUUUAAUUCCGAGGUCCUCAAGAGAAAAUACUUCACUUAUUUCAUUGGAGAGGAAAGGCACUUUCUGGGGUUCUCUCUCACACCAUCGCUACUAGCUAGUUUUUAAUAUAUUAGAAUUACUAAUGCAGUGACAGUUCGAUCUUUGCCUGUUCGAAAUGGAAACUAGCUUGACCUCCGGUAAUAAUCCAGACACCUGAAAACUGCACUUCCUCGGGAGGACAUCCGCUCAGGAUGAAGUCGAUCGCAUAAACGGUUGUCGAGAAAAUAGACAUCCAUCCAGAGACUACGUCCAUUGUAGUCAGAUUAAGGGUUACUAGUUCAUAUCCAGACACCUUCAAAAAGGGAGAGCUUGACCUGUGGCAGUGUUAUGGAAUAACUGAUAACUGGAGAAAAACAAACAUUCAGCACCUCCUUGUAGUACCUAUUUCUGGAAGGGCAAAAGAAAAGUAUUCGAAAUAUAGCAGAGUACUUGCUUAAGAACUUGAAAUGUCAGGCUCAACCCUCGAGCUAAAAGGUUAGCUUCAAGCUUCAACAGUCUUUGAAUGGGAUUUCUCUCUGCAUGGUGGAUGACCUUCUAGAAACCAGCUCGGAGCAAGAAACACAUCUGAUCUGUAAACAUGUGUUCUGGUUCCUUAAAGGUUUCAAAAGACACCCCACUGGGCUCCCCUCCACCUC